CGCGUAUUUUGCCCAGGCGGAGCUCGACCGCCCGUUCCGCAAAUGAUCGCCUUCAUUGACGAUCAUCGCGGUGAGUUUGGGGUCGAGCCGAUCUGCAGGGUGCUGCCGAUUGCCCCU
rfam:Pseudopelagicola gijangensis strain DSM 100564 genome assembly, contig: Ga0131178_174